rnacentral:lncRNA from 1 species
AAAGAGUCUGGUUUGGGAUUCGCGCAUUUAUAUCUACGUUCUUCAGUCGUUUCGCUUUCAACAGACGCAAAUAUAGUAUAACCCAGCUCCCUCUUUCGCUGGAUUUAUAACUAAAACUCGAAACUCGAAAGGGUUGGGUCAGUAAUUGCGCAUUAUACCGUUUGUUCUUCAGCAAUUCCACUCCUGAUCCUUUACAGGAGACUCACAAAAAUUGUCAAGAUCGCUGUAAGUUUUCGAUUUAGUAUUACCCUUCUUCUUCAGCAUUCAUUCUGUCACUUUUCUUAUGGAAGACUUGUUUUGUCAGAUCAACAUGUUUUAGUCGAAUCCUUUUUUGUGGCUAUGUCAUGGUUGUUCUUCAUAUUUGUUAAAAAUUCAAUAAUCAUUCUUUGAUUCACAUAUGUUGAACUGUGACUAUGCUACUGAAGGAUCUGUUAUGUUUACUAAUUUAUUUUCCCAUAACAAAAUUAUAGUUUCUAGAAUUACGACUCUUAUUAAUAUUUAACAAUUAUAUGUUUGUGUAGGUUAUACAGAAUCAUUUAAAGUGGUAUACAAAUAUCAGAUCCCAACAUCAAAAUAUGAAUGCUUGUAUUUCGACAUACCUUUGUUUAAAAAACAUCAGUGAAUGUGAGGGGGUUAUAUAUGUAACAAAAAAUUAAGUUUCCUUUUUCUAAUAUCUUGUUUAUAGAUUUAGUUUAAUACGUUUUGUUUAAAAUAUCUAUGAGAUUUGGUCCUAAAAAACAUAUGAGAAAUGCUUAGGUGUUACAUCUUGUAUAAAAUCUUUUUGAUGCUUAAAUUCCUGUAUUGUCCUUAAUUAGUAAUGGAUCGCUUGGAAUUGCAGUUUUCAGACGAAAAAUAAGGAUGAAGCUAAUAUUUUUUCAAGAUUAGAAUUAUCAUGUUGUUUUUACAUGCAUCAAGAGCUCCUAGCAAUUUGGAAAAAAAGCCAAAGGUCAAUAUGUGGUCAAAGGUACAAAACCAAACUCCACUUUGCUGAUUACUUAAUAAUUAAUAUGGAUGCAAAUUCUCUAAUAGUGUAAUAAUGAAAAAAGCGUUGGUAGAUUAGUGUCCCCAUGAAGGGACCUAUUUGUGAGCGAUUGCCAUUUUAAUUUUUCCCAAUAGGACAUUAUAUUUUUAUGUUAUUAUUAAGACAAUGCACUUUGAUUAUGGUUACCAGUUUACAUUAUUAUAUAUUAUUUAUUUUACUAUUAGGAAAUUUUCUUUGAAAAUCGAACGGGUUGAGGCAUUAUAAUUUCUUAUAUAGCUUUAUACUCUCACUAUAAAAUCUAUUAAGAUAUUGUACUUUCCCAAUGUGUACUUUGAUAGGCAUUAAGGAUUUUUUUUUUUCAUUAUUUGACAAAUGUAACUACUCUUUUUUCUUUUUUCGAUGUUUGAUAGUCUCUUUGAAAAAUAAAAAGGUGCAACACCACAUCACCUACUUUUUUUUAUUGUUUGAUAGUCUCUAUGUAAACCCUCUUGUUUUGCUCUACAUUUGUCAUAGAAUAGCCUGCAGUUAAUGCCCAAUCUUGCAGCUUCGGAUGCGGUAAAGUGUAAUGGGACACAAAAGGUUUCUACUUUUAAUUCAUUAUGCUUUUUCUUUUCUUUGUUUGAUAGUAAGGGAGAUGUAGCAGUUUCCCAUGAAAACCUGAAUGCAAGUCUUGAAAUUAACUUCUAUCCAUUUGAUGUGUAAGUAUCAGCAGUCUCAAAUUGGUUUAUAAAAUGCCAAUUGUUUUACCAUUAUUUUGUUCAUCUGUGUUUUAUAGCAUCCUAAUUUCAUUUCUUUCAAUUAUAGUGUUGUACUUUCAACUAAUUUCUUAUUAACACAUUGUACUUUGAAAGUGUAUCCAAUUAUGGCAUCGAACUUAUAGCUACUUUUCUAUUAGAACAUUAUACUAAUAAUGUUGUUCAUCAAUCAUGAAAGAUAAAUCAUAAGCUUUCUGGUGUUUUCUUACUUUAAUGGAAAGAUCAAGCCCAAAGAUCCAACUGUGAUAAAAAAAAAGGUAUGCACUCUCAACUCUUUGCAUUAUCAAAGGUCCUCUCUCUAUCUCACUAUAGAACAAGGAUAUUUUCGUCGUUUAAUAAAAGAGGAAGAAUGAACCUGAAAUCCUUCCACCGGCCCCUAUGAAUGGUUCAAAUCCAUCAAAUAUGACAUUCGAAGGAAUUUGACAGAGUUGAAUGGAAUAUUGAAUUCCAAUUCCACCGGAAUCCACAAUUCUAAAACAUAGCUUCGAUUUUCAAACAUGAUACUUAAAGAAAUUCGACUGAACUGAAUUCUGUCCUAAUUGUCAAUCAAACAUGUCUUGAUAAGGAAUCUCGAACUCCAAUUCUGUCGGAAUCCGCGAUUCCUUUUCUUAGCUGGUGGAACUACUCAACAACCCAUUUUAGUUGUUACAUCUUGUAUAAAAUCUUUUUGAUGCUUAAAUUCCUGUAUUAUCCUUAAUUAGUAAUGGAUUGCUUGGAUAAUACUCAACAACCCAUGAAGGAACCUAUCUGUGAGUGAUUGUCAUUUUAAUUUUUCCCAUUAGGACAUUAUAAUUUUAUGAUCUUAUUAAGACAAUGCACUUUGAUUAUGGUUACAAGUUUACAUUAUUAUAUAUAAUGUAUUUUACUAUUAGGAAAUUUUCCAUAAAAAUCAAAAGUUAUUACUUCACAAUCUAACCUGUUAAAUUAUAUUUUUUUUCCUUCUAAGAUAUUGUACUUUGAUAUUACUUUGAAAAUCUAAUAAUGUUUGAUUUUGGUUACCAUUUAUAGGAUUAUACUCUCAUUUCCUGUUACGACAUUGUACAUUGAAAACUUGUUUGAUUUUUGUUACAAAUAGCAUUUUAUUUUUAAGUUUUUAUCCUCUAAUGACUUUGAACUAUAACCUAUUAAGUUCAAUUUUUAUUUUUUCUUUUUAAAACAUUAUGCUUUGAAAAACCUACCCAACUGUAGCACUACAACUUUUAGUUAUAGCAUUAUGCUUUCAAUGUCCCUAUUUUUUAAUGUUUUUUUUUUUCAAGAAUGACAUUGUAUCAUUAAAUUCUUAUCAAUUAUAGUUUUGAUAUCUAACCUAUUAAGCCAUUUUGACCAGUUAUAGGAAUUUACUUAAAAUUUUAAAUUUGUUUUACGCUAUUACCCUCUUCAGACACAUGCGAUAUGCUUUUCUUGGAGGGUUUGAUGUGGCAAUGAAACGUAUGUUGGAAAUUGUGGGUUGUAGUCAUCAAUCAAAGCCAAUGCAUGAGUUUUGUUCAUUUGUGUAAGAGAACUUGAAAUUGUUGGAUGACAUGGCGGAAUUGUGACCUAUUAUGUUCCUUGAUUACAUUAUAGAGUAUAUGAUAAAUUUAUGUAUUUUUCAAUAAGUAAGGCUUUAUGAUGUUCUAUUAGUGUGUGGUUUUUGCAGGGAAGAGGCAAGCUUUCAAUACUUUAAAUGUGAAGAGGCAAGCUUUACUUAAAGGUAACAAUUUACAAAACUUUCUUCAGCACUUUUAGUUUUCGAUACUUUAAAGAAUAUAAUCUGUGUGAUAAUAUCAAAUCUUACAGCCUAGAAUUCAUCUCCUAUGCUAAUUAUUAGUAUUUAAUAAAAUAAAAGACAAACUUUGUGGAUGGGUUCGUUUUAUGGUUUCAGGUGCAUCAUCCCUACCUUUUCUCUUGAUGUUAUGUAUUUUCUUAAAGCCUAAGUUAUUUUUAACAACUUACUCUCUUUCAUUUGUGUUUUUUAGCAUCUUAAUUUCAUUUCUUUCUAUUAUAGUAUUCUACUUUCAAAAAAAAUAUUUAUUAACACAUUGUACGUUGAAAAUUAAUUCAAUUAUGGCAUCGUACUUAUAGCUAUUUCUCUAUUAUACUUUUAG